rnacentral:tRNA from 1 species
GGAGAGAUGGCUCAGUGGUUAAGAGCACUGGCUGCUCUUCCAGAGGUCCUGAGUUCAGUUCCCAGCAUCUACA